UAAUAUCCCCUUUGACCUCAAAUCAGGUAGGACUACCCGCUGAACUU
rnacentral:rRNA from 1 species